CUGACUGUCAGCACGAUCCCCCUGGCCGGAUCUUCAGACUCUUCACUCCGAGUCCCCUCCCCUCAGAGGCGCGGCUCCCAUCAGCGCUAUGUGGGGCAAGGCGGAGGGCAGCUAUUUACAAGCUGGCGAAUGCUGGCAUUGCUGAGGGGCAGGAUUGAUUGAAGUGGCCGGCGGCAGGCGCCCGCGGUGAGGGCCAGGGAGAUGAGUCGGAGGUAUCCUGCAGCUGGCCCGGCAAAUUGACGCGUCGCCAGGGAAACGGGACGCGUCGCCAAGGUAACCACAGCGGAUGCCGUCUGACAUCACCGGACGUGACGCACCCACGGCUGCGGAAGGCGGAAUCUCACGCCGGACCCGGCACUCCCGUGGGGUAGAGACUUGUCUCCUAUUUAGCGUGGACGGGGCGCCGGGCCGGGCGGCCGGAUUUCCAUAGCAACCCGACGCGACGCACCUAAUGAUGCGGCUGGAAGGCGCCGAGCCGGGGACGGACACGCCGGGACCCGGACGGCAUCGAGCACUGUGGCGGGCUUCUUGGUUAUUUAGGCAGCUGAGGGGAUUGUGGUUCCCGUGUUUGCGGACUCUCCAAUAGUUGGAAUGGUGGCCUUGAGGACACAUUUGAUACGCGUCGUUGAGGUGGUGACUCGUGUUGUCUGGUGUGCACAUCCAGCCUGUGUCUCUUGUGAACCAUAUGUCUUUGCCUGCCAGUAUCCUCAGGACGCCUCCUUCUGGAAAUGAGCCGUUGUGUGGAUGGUCCUAUACCCCCCAAAAAAAUUAAUGUUGUGCGAAAUCAUUUGCACUCAUAAUAUGUCCAUAAAUUGUAACUUUAGCUGCUUCACCAUCAUCAUCAACAACAUCAUCUUGUGCCUGAGUGGAGGCAGGGUGCCCUGUUGUUUUUUUUGGCCACUGUGAAGAUAUGACAAGCGUGUUUUUUUUUGUGAAUACUGUGUAAUCCAAAUUUGUACAUCAUUACCUUUUCUUUAUUUCUUAAGUAAUUACAUAUUUUUAAAAUUAAAAACGCAGCCACAUUUUUUAAAGUGUAUAUUGUGUGUACUUUGUCCGGGAACCAAACGUAGAAAAA